rnacentral:tRNA from 1 species
GCUAGGGUGGCAGAGUCUGGUGAUUGCAUAAAACUUAAACCUUUAUACUCAGAGGUUCAAAUCCUCUCCCUAGCA